UACUGUGAGGAGGAAUGGAUCGAUGGUUGAGGUUCUUCCAGAAAUCUCUUAUCUUUUCUCCCCCCUUCCCCUGUAGCUUUGCUGGAGAAGUGAGAUCAACCAAAAGGCCAGACAAAAUGGUGUCAGAGCAGGAGGUGGAGGCGCUGUUUGACCCUCGCCGGUGUUGAAUCGGCUGCUGGUGGUGAACUGGAGCGGGGAGAAGAGGAGGCUGCCGCCAGGAGUGUGGGGCGGCGCAGCCGCUCGGAGUUGAAGCCAGUGGUGGUGCGACCUGGGAGUGAGGCCCCUCUUUGUGGCGCGUGCAGGAGCUGCAGGCUGGGAGAGCUGGGUGUAGCAGCAGGAGGCGGAAGUGUGGCUGCUUGAAAUCUGAAGCAGCGGCAGAGGGGAUCCAAAGUGACAGAUUAAGGGUGUGUUGCCUGAAUCUGAAUCUGUUUGUGGGUUGUUUCUGCUGUGAGUGGAAAGAAGAACAGAGCAAUAUACCAAGGAGAGGUGUGCCAGGAUGGCUGAUGGUGCUCCAACAGGUGUCACGGCAGGAGAGCUUGCAGCGGUGUUGAGAGCCAUGGACGAGAAGUACAGAUUGCUGUUUGAGACUAUUGGGAAGCAAGGAGAGAGUUCGAAGUUAGAGGCAGAGGUCAAGGAAGAUAUCCAUCCAUUGCAGAUGCCCCUGGUGAAGUUAGAAGGAUCUGAAACCUAUGCAAGUUGGGCAGAGCAUGCGGAGACUAUUCUUGUGUCAAGAAGGCUAGAGGGCUAUAUUCUUGGGGCAAUUGAAAAACCAGCAGAUGAGAACUCUAAGGAAGGUCAAAAGUGGAAGAUGACCAACGCAUUAGUGAGAGCAUGGCUGUUGAGUUCAGUUUCACCUAAAAUUGCUAAACAAGUGGAAAGGAUUAAGGAAGCAUCAGAAAUUUAGCGGCUGCUGAAAGGCACAUAUUCUGGAGUCGGCAAUGAGAUGCUUGCUUGUAGAAUUCAGAGGGAGUUGCAAGGGUUGAGUCAGGGUGAUAAAUCAGUUGUGGAGUAUGUGUCUGAGUUGAAGAGAUUGUGGAGUGACAUUGACUAUUUUGACCCAGUUGAGAUGGAGUGUGGCAAGUGUAUUGAGAAAUUUAACAAAUGGACUGAAAGGACACGUGUAAGGGACUUCCUAAAUGGACUUCAUCCUAAGUUUGAAAACAGGAGGGCUGCACUCUAUGGUAGUGGAAAGCUGCCUACACUCGAGCAGGCAAUCUCAGCUAUCAUCAGUGAGGAAACUAGGUUGAAAUUAGAGGCAGCCAGUUCCGUGACACAAGGCAUCAUGCAUCGGCGAUCAGCACUCUAUGCAACAGAGGGUGGAAAUUAUCAAAAGCCGGUAUCAAACAUAGUGGAAAGGAAAUGCUUUGAGUGUGGUGAACCAGGACAUUUGAGGUCUUCAUGCCCUGAAUUAAUGGGAGCAGGUAGAGGAAGAGGGCAGGACUGGCGGGGAAGAGGGCGUGGUCGUGGGUUUGAAGGACGAGGUGGCCGCGGGCGAGGAACACGCCCUACUGGUAGAGCGAACACAUCUCUAAUCUCUGAAAAUACCACUCAAACCAUGAGCGUUCACAUGACUGCUGAGGAUUGGGAGAAGUGGUGUCAAUUCAAGGAGCUACAUUUAGGUGACAAGUCAACCGCUGAAGCACCUGCACAUCUGCCUCUACGGCCUCUGCAAAUUUCGGUGGUAACAACUCUCGCACUAUGAAAUAUAAAUCCAUCAAUGCACCAUGGCUAUUAGAUUCAGGUGCAUCUAGACAUAUGGCUGGCUCCUACAAAAGCUUUAUUGAUUAUACUCCUGAGAUACAAAGGCAAAGCGUUAAAUUAGCUGAUGGCUCCUCCCAAACCAUUAUGGGAUCAGGAACAAUUGUGUGCAGCAAUGAUAUAUCUUUGUCCUCUGUUUUGCAUGUUCCCUCAUUCCCAAUAAAUUUACUAUCCAUCAGUUGCAUUACAAAAGAGCUAAAUUGUGUUGCCAUCUUCUUUCCAUCAUGGUGCUUGUUUCAGGAACUUGGGACUGGAAGAAGACUUGGGACAGGGAGCAUGCAUGCUGGGUUGUAUUAUCUGGAUAAUAAUAUGUCUCCUGCGGUAGUAGCAGCUGCUAUACCUCUUUCACCACUUGAAGAAUUUCUUCUCCACCACCGCAGGCUAGGACAUAUGUCUUUUGUCACUCUCGGUCAACUUUAUCCUGAUCUCUAUAAGAAAGUUAGCAAGGGGUGUCUAGUAUGUGAUGCUUGUCAAUAUGGCAAACAGACACGUAGCUCUUACACAUCAUCUGAUAAUAGAAGUGACACACCACUUCAAGUUAUACAUUCUGAUGUGUGGGGUCCUAGUGGUGUUUCAUCUUUAAAUGGUUAUCGGUCGUUUGUUACCUUUAUUGACUGUUGUACUAGAGUCACUUGGGUUUAUGUGUUGAGGAACAAGAAUGAUGUGUUCGAAUGCUUUGUUGAUUUCCACAAUAUGAUCAGAACACAAUAUAAUGCAUGUAUGAAAAUAUUUCGCACUGACAAUGGCACGGAGUAUGUGAACAAGGAAUUUGAUGAGUACUUUUCAAGUUUUGGGAUUAUUCAUCAGACAACUUGUCCAGGUACUUCGGAGCAGAAUGGUUUGGCAGAGAGGAAGAAUAGACAUCUUCUAGAAAUCACUCGUUGCAUAAUGACAUCUAUGAAUGUUCCUAAGUUUUUGUGGGGUGAGGCCAUAAUGACAGCUGCCUACUUAAUGAAUAGAAUGCCAUCCAGGGUACUUGGUUAUAAAACACCAAUGGAGUGUCUUACAGGUGAAACAAAAUAUGUAGUUCCUCCUAAGGUCUUUGGUUGUGUUUGUUUUGUGAAGGAUUAUAGACCAUCGGUUGGCAAACUAGAUCCAAAGGCAUUAAAGUGUGUAUUUGUAGGCUAUUCCGGUACACAGAAGGGUUAUAGAUGUUGGUGUCCAUCUGAGAGGAGAAUGUUUGUGAGUAUGGAUGUGGUAUUUAGAGAGCAAGAACCAUUUUAUGGUGAGCCAACAGAUUUAACCGAUGUGUUCCCUGAUUUGUUUACUAAUGAAACUUCUAGUGUGAAUUGUGAGAAAGAAGAAGAUGAUGAAACAUCAGGAAAGAUGAUAAUUGGGGUAAUUCCAGCAGAAACAAGACAAGAACAAAGACAGGGGGAGCCGUAUGAUACAUCGAAUGAAGCACUCCGGUGGCCAAGACCAAAUGAGGAAAGGGAGAUUCAGGUGUAUACACGAAGACAACGUACCACAGAGGAGCAAAUGCAAGUGCUGGAACCCGAACCAGAGGCUUAUGGACAACACCGGGAGCAAGAGCAGGAGGCUGACCACCAGGAUGAUACGCAAGGUCAAACUAAUGACACCAGAUCUUCCUCGGACAGUGGUAACAUCUCUUCUCAAUAUCAUGACCUUGAUGUUCCGAUAGCUCACAGAAAGCAGCCACGGUCUAAUGCCAGAAAAUUGCCCUCUAAAUUGGAUCCUUAUAUGGUCUCCAACUAUGUCUCGUAUGAUAUUGUCGGUCCUUCUUACAAGUCUUUUAUCGCAGCACUGGAUGCUGCAGAACCUUUGCCACGGGAUUGGCAGGAGGCAAAAUUAAACCCAAAGUGGAGGGCAGCUAUGCUAGAGGAGAUGGCUGCUCUCGACAAGAAUAAUACAUGGGUAGUUACACCACUUCCCAAUAACAAGAAGGUAGUAGGAUGCAAAUGGGUGUUCACCAUAAAACAUACACCAGAAGGCAAAGUAGAGAGAUACAAGGCAAGACUUGUGGCGAAAGGUUAUAGCCAAACGUAUGGGCUGGACUAUGAUGAAACCUUCGCCCCGGUUGCAAAGAUGAACACCAUUAGAGCUUUAAUCUCGGUGGCAGCGAAUAACAAGUGGAAGUUGUUCCAACUAGAUGUGAAGAAUGCAUUCCUUCAUGGAGAUCUACAGGAAGAAGUUUAUAUGGAGAUUCCACCAGGGUUUAAUGGGCCUGAGACAGAGGGUAAAGUGUGCAGAUUGAAGAAAUCACUUUAUGGACUUAAACAGUCACCAAGGGCUUGGUUUGGAAGAUUUUGCAAAGAAGUCUGCUCCUUGGGCUUUAAACAGAGCAAUGCCGACCACAGCCUUUUCUUUAAGCAUCACCAAAACAAAACUGUCAUAUUGGUGGUAUAUGUUGAUGACAUUGUGAUUACAGGUAAUGAUGAUGAGGAGAUAAGGAAUGUGAAGAAGAUGUUGGCGAAGUCAUUUGAGGUCAAAGACCUCGGGUUUCUUCACUUCUUCUUGGGAAUCGAAGUAGCUUAUGGGGCUGAAGGUAUCUAUCUCUCUCAAAGAAAAUAUGUGCUUGAUCUUCUCACUGAAACUGGGAUGCUUGAAAGUAAACCUGCUGCCACACCAAUUGAAAUGAACCUUCGUAUUACAGCAAAUUCAGGAGAACCUGUUGAUAGGGGGAGAUAUCAGAGACUUGUAGGGCGUUUAAUUUAUCUAUCCCACACUAGACCAGACAUUGCAUAUGCAGUUAGUCUGGUGAGUAGAUAUAUGCAUGAUCCUCGAUCAAGUCAUCUAGAUGCAGUAAAUAGAAUUUUGAGAUACCUCAAAGGGUGUCCUGGAAAAGGAAUUCUUCUUUCAUAUCAUGGUCAUCUAGAAGUUGAGGGAUACACAGACGCUGAUUGGGCUGGGUGCCUGGAUGAUAGGAGAUCCACUUCAGGUUAUUGCAUCUUUGUGGGAGGAAAUUUAGUCAGUUGGAGGAGUAAGAAGCAAAGUGUUGUCGCCAGGUCCACAGCAGAAGCAGAAUUGCGAUCCAUGGCUGCGGGCCUAUGUGAGUUGUUGUGGCUUCGAUUAUUGUUAAUUGAACUUCGGUUGUUCAAAGGAGGACCACUUAAACUUCAUUGUGAUAAUCAGGCCGCAAUUAACAUCAUAAACAAUCCGGUUCACCAUGAUAGAACAAAACAUAUCGAAAUUGAUAGGCAUUUUAUUAAGGAGAAACUUGAUGAGGGAGUACUUGAAGUAGGCUUUGUUAAAAGUGGGGAUCAACUUGCUGAUGCAUUAACAAAGGGUGUGAGUGUUGUAUCAUUCUCAAAAUUGUGUGACAAGAUGGGGCUCUUAGACGUUUUCGCCCCAUCUUGAGGGGGAGUGUUGUAGGGUGUGAGUUACAGGAGUGUUGUAGGGUGUGAGUUGCAAAACAGGGAAGUGUGAAGGGUCAAAAUGUAAAUGGAAGGUGUAUAUACUGUGAGGAGGAAUGGAUCGAUGGUUGAGGUUCUUCCAGAAAUCUCUCAUCUUUUCUCCCCCCUUCCCCUGUAGCUUUGCUGGAGAAGUGAGAUCAACCAAAAGGCCAGACAAAAGAUACAUCUAACUUUAUCCCAGGAAAAUGUUUCUUCUACUCUUAUCAAUGCAAAAUACUUAAUCAAGCCGAUGCCUUCCCCCAUUUCUUUCAUGGGAAUAAAACUAAUCUUCAU
rnacentral:lncRNA from 1 species